CGCUGGCGGCGUGCGUAACACAUGCAAGUCGAACGGAAUUAAGGGGCUUGCUCCUUAAUUUAGUGGCGCACGGGUGAAUAAUGCCUAGAUGAUCUACCCAAGGAUCCGGGAUAACAUUUCAAACGGGGUGCUAAUACCAGAUAAGCCCACGGAGUCUUCGGACUCUGCGGGAAAAGGGGGGGACCUUCGGGCCUUCUGUCCUCGGAUGAGUCUACAUACCAUUAGCUACUUGGUGGGGUAAAGGCCUACCAAGGCGACGAUGGUUAGCUGGUCUGAGAGGAUGAUCAGCCACACUGGAACUGACACACGGUCCAAACUCCUACGGGAGGCAGCAGUGGGGAAUUUUGCGCAAUGGGGGAAACCCUGAUGCAGCAACGCCGCGUGAGUGAUGAAGGCCUUCGGGUCGAAAAGCUCUGUCAGUGGGAAAGAAAUGUACGAGGGUCAAUACCCCUUGUACUUGACGGUACCCACAAAGGAAGCUCCGGCUAACUCCGUGCCAGCAGCCGUGGUAAUACGGAGGGUGCGAGCGUUGUUCGGAAUUAUUGGGCGUAAAGCGCGUGUAGGCGGCUCCUUAAGUCUGAUGUGAAAGCCCCGGGCUCAACCUGGGAAGUGCAUUGGAAACUGGGGAACUUGAAUACGGGAGAGGGUAGUGGAAUUCCUGGUGUAGGAGUGAAAUCCGUAGAUAUCAGGAGGAACACCGGUGGCGAAGGCGGUUACCUGGACCGAUAUUGACGCUGAGACGCGAAAGCGUGGGGAGCAAACAGGAUUAGAUACCCCGGUAGUCCACGCCGUAAACGAUGAGAACUAGGUGUUGCGGGUAUUGACCCCUGCAGUGCCGCAGCUAACGCAUUAAGUUCUCCGCCUGGGAAGUACCGUCGCAGGACUAAAACUCAA
rnacentral:rRNA from 1 species